GACAGAGGCCUCGAGCGUUAGGCGGAAUCACUGGGCUUAAAGCGCGUGUAGGCGGACCGUUAAGUGCCUUGUGAAAUCCUGCGGCUCAACCGCAGAACUGCUGGGCAUACUGGCGAUCUUGGGCCACUCAGGGGUCACUGGAACAAGCGGUGGAGCGGUGAAAUGCGUAGAUAUCGCUUGGAACGCCAAAGGUGAAGACAGGUGACUGGGGGUGUGCCGACGCUGAGACGCGAAAGCCAGGGGAGCAAACGGG
rnacentral:rRNA from 1 species